AUGUUCUCUGUAGCUCUGCUGCUGCUGUUGGCAGCUGGAUGUGUUAAGUGUGAAACGCUGACUCAGCCAGCCUCUGUGACUAUGCAGCCAGGUCAACGUCUGACCAUCACCUGUCAGGUCUCUUAUCCUGUUAGCAGCUACACUACAGCUUGGAUCAGACAGCCUGCAGGGAAAGGACUGGAGUGGAUUAUCAGAGGAGGUGUUGGAUACAGCACAUACAUCAAAGAUUCCCUAAAGAACAAGUUCAGUAUCAGUUAUGAUUCUUCCAGCAAAACAGUGACUCUAAACGGACAGAAUGUGCAGCCUGAAGACACUGCUGUGUAUUACUGUGAUCUCCAGGCCCUCUCAAGAUGUUGGGUAUGGGCACUGGACUUUCUCUCUUUCCCCUUCGUCUUCCUCCUUUUCUUUUUCUUGUCCUCUGAUGAGGAUGCAGUAGAGGAGGAUGCAGACACAGUAUCGGAGGAAUCUUCCUCUGAGCUGUCACAAGAGGAAGAUGAAGACAAGGAGAUUGCCUGGCUGUGCAGUAGGGGCCAUGGACACACCUAA